GAACCGCGGAAGAACCGCGCGGUGGGGGCGGGGGACGCGUCCGCGCGCGCGCCGGCCGCGGCGGUGAGCCUGCGCGUCAGGGCGGCUGGCCUCUCUUUGGCUGUUGGAAGAAAAAGAAAUGGAAACUAAGCAAUAUUAAUUAACAUAGUCCAAGGUCGCAAAGCAAAAUGGAACAAGAACCUGGAUCUGAAUUCAGAGGCAGGAUGCUGGAGAUAGGGUCUUGUUCUGUCGCCCAGGCUUGGGUGCAAUGGCAUGAUCAUAGCUCACUGCAGCCUCGAACUCCUGGGGUCCAGUGAUUCUCCUGCCUCAGCGUCCCUUGUAGUUGGACUACAGGUAUAAAUCACCAUGUCUGGCUCUUGUUCUUUAACACAUGCUUGUAGCUCAAAACUAGUAGAAUUCCCUCUGAUACAUUUGUGAACCUCUGCUUCUACUACAAGUUUUAUGCUACUGAAGUCAGUUGCCUUUUUCUCAAACCUGCUUAUACCAAUUAAACUUGUUAUUAAAAUUAAUUAGUUAAAUAUGUAAACCAGUGAAAUAUGAAACAAAAGUCAAUCACUAAAGAAAGUAAUGCCCAAUUAAGUGUAAGCAAAACAACUGCAAAAGCCUCGAAAAAGUGAGUAGAAAUCUACAGAUAUUUUGCUGGCAAAUGAAAUACAUUUGUAGUUUAAGUUAAAAUUUAAAAUUAAAGAUAUAUAUGUAUCAUUUUUAAAUUUCUCUGUUUUGAGGCCGGGCGCGGUGGCUCAAGCCUGUAAUCCCAG